AGUGAACGCUGGCGGUAGGCCUAACACAUGCAAGUCGAACGGCAGCACAGGAGAGCUUGCUCUCUGGGUGGCGAGUGGCGGACAGGUGAGGAAUACAUCGGAAUCUACUUUUUCGUGGGGGAUAACGUAGGGAAACUUACGCUAAUACCGCAUACGACCUAAGGGUGAAAGCAGGGGAUCUUCGGACCUUGCGCGAUUGAAUGAGCCGAUGUCGGAUUAGCUAGUUGGCGGGGUAAAGGCCCACCAAGGCGACGAUCCGUAGCUGGUCUGAGAGGAUGAUCAGCCACACUGGAACUGAGACACGGUCCAGACUCCUACGGGAGGCAGCAGUGGGGAAUAUUGGACAAUGGGCGCAAGCCUGAUCCAGCCAUACCGCGUGGGUGAAGAAGGCCUUCGGGUUGGAAAGCCCUUUUGUUGGGAAAGAAAUCCAGCUGGUUAAUACCCGGUUGGGAUGACGGUACCCAAAGAAUAAGCACCGGCUAACUUCGUGCCAGCCGCCGCGGUAA
rnacentral:rRNA from 1 species